rnacentral:rRNA from 1 species
UACGUAGGGACCGAGCGUUGUCCGGAUUCAUUGGGCGUAAAGAGCUCGUAGGCGGCUGUUCAAGUCGAACGUGAAAACUCGGAGCUCAACUCCGAGCCUGCGUUCGAUACUGGACGGCUAGAGUCUGGUAGGGGGAUCUGGAAUUCCUGGUGUAGCGGUGGAAUGCGCAGAUAUACGGAGGAACACCAGAGGCGAAGGCGGAUCGCUGGGCCAACACUGACGCUGAGACGCGAAAGCUAGGGUAGCAAACGGG